rnacentral:tRNA from 1 species
GCCGGAGUAGCUCAGCUGGUAGAGCAGCUGAUUUGUAAUCAGCUGGUCGGGGGUUCGAGUCCCUUCUCCGGCU